UUGUCGAGAAAAAUUAGCUUAUAUAUACUUAGUUUUAAGCAAGGGCACAGAUACCCUACGUAAAGAAAAAAGAGAGAAGAAAAAUGGCCACACUAUGAAAAGACAAGAAGGUCACAUUAGUUUGAGCACUCGAAGAAAGAGCGGGGAGAAAAGACGAAGCGAAAUAAAACGCAACCAACGCCUAAGUACCUAUGAAGAUAA